rnacentral:lncRNA from 1 species
AUGGAGCGGGUGCAUGGAGGUGGUACCCUCCAUGCUUUUGUUUGCAUGGCCCUGCCUCCAGGCCACUUUGGCCACCAUCUCCAUGCAAACACCAGCUCAGAAGAGGAAGGCAGGCUCAUUAGGAGAAGCCGUGAGUUGGGGAUCUGAAAAUCUGGGUUCGCUAAAUGACUCCUUUACCUCAGUGUGCUGUGUAUGUUCUUGGGCGAAUCAUUUCACCUCUUUGGGCCUAUUUCCUUCAUGUUAACAUGGGAUAAUUGCUGAAGUGGACUUUCGUAAGGCUCAAAGCACUCUGUAUUGUGAAAAGGGCUCUCUGAAUGGUAUCUGAGGUUUCUUUUAUUCUCCUCAUCCCUCUCCUCAGUCUUUACACUGCCAAAGCCCUCUUUCCCACUCUGACAUUCUCCUUGGGCCACUGGCAGUCUCUACCUGUCACUCCCCCUGCUGCUCUCUAUUACCCUUCUCACCACAGGCCACAGCCCUGGAUUCUGCCUUCCUCUACCCACCACUUCCCCAGUGGUUUCUGCCAGACUUCCCCUCCCCUGGCAAAGGCCCUUGGGCUCAGACCUCAGACUCCAGGAUCCACCUCUAGGCACUGCCCCGCUUGGUGGGAGUGAGGCCUAAGAAAGGAAAAGAAGGCGGUAGGCCAGGGCCUGAGUCAGGGAAGGAAAGGCUGGAGCUGGCCAAGUAGGGUGCAGGCUCUGAGGGGGAAGAAGGAGCCCCAGAUUCAUGGGAAGGUAAAUUCUGACUACCCCCAUCACUGGGACCAGGUGAGAGCCUCUCAACGGACCAGCCAAGAGCACUAAGCUGCAUUUUGUGGAUGCCUAAAGAGAUCCACUGUACCUGGCCUGGCCUAAAGUUCUUUACUCUGGGCAUAUAUCACCUUUACAAAAAGAAUCUAGAAAAAAAAAAGAGUUAACUAAGAAGAAGGCUGAGGAAGAGCUGGUCCCAGGCAGGGAGGAAGAGGGCACUAUCUAUAAUCUCCAGGCCAGUGCCCCAAGUGACAAAGGGCUGGGGGAUGAUAACUGGCCCCCCAGGAGGGGCCAGAGAAUGCUGGAUGGGAAUCCCAGGGAAAUACUGAACAGUCCCAAACAGGCUGGCUCUGAGGUUUGGGGGGCUGUGGGUGGGCAGAUCAGUAAGCAUAAGCACCCCCUGAGCAAGACGAUACACAUGGCUGGUGUAUAUCUACCACCGGGAGUAACUCAUGGAAAAUACCAGCUGUGGCUACCAAGAGGAAGUAAAGAGCCAAUUCUGCUCAAUCUAGCUGUUUAUGUCCUGAUAGGGCUGUGUCAUGAUAAGCCUGAGGGACCUGUGUGGCCACACAGGUGUCUUUCUCUGGUAACUUUGUAUGUGAGCUGGGAGCUCUUGUAGCUCAUGGGGUCCUACUUCCUUGAUGAGCUGGGGACUAGCCUCAGCGCAGUGCUUUCCCCAAGAUCCUCAGAGGCAGGAAGCUGCCUGGACCAGGUCUUCUAUUUGGGAAAGGGCUGGGUCCUCUGGGUUUCCACACACCCUUGGCCUCACAGAUGAAGACCCUACUCAAGCUGGGUCCCCUCCUUACCCACAGAUUGAGAGGAACCUGAACUGUCUUCCACCCUCCCCACUCAGGAACCAGUGAGUCAGAAAACCUGGCUUUCAAUCUUGGUUCUAUUCAGGACAAGCUCCUUCCCUCCCUGGUCUGCACCCUUGCUCCCAGACCGUUCUAGUGCUGACUUUUUCUGAUUCCCCUUUAGACACUUAUAAUCUUGGGCCUCAAGGCCUAUGGAUUAUAUUUAUAAUUCAGUGAUUCUCAAACAGGUUUCUUAGGGGGCA